AUUGAACGCUGGCGGCAGGCCUAACACAUGCAAGUCGAGCGGAUGAAGGGAGCUUGCUCCUGGAUUCAGCGGCGGACGGGUGAGUAAUGCCUAGGAAUCUGCCUGGUAGUGGGGGAUAACGUCCGGAAACGGGCGCUAAUACCGCAUACGUCCUGAGGGAGAAAGUGGGGGAUCUUCGGACCUCACGCUAUCAGAUGAGCCUAGGUCGGAUUAGCUAGUUGGUGGGGUAAAGGCCUACCAAGGCGACGAUCCGUAACUGGUCUGAGAGGAUGAUCAGUCACACUGGAACUGAGACACGGUCCAGACUCCUACGGGAGGCAGCAGUGGGGAAUAAUGGACAAUGGGCGAAAGCCUGAUCCAGCCAUGCCGCGUGUGUGAAGAAGGUCUUCGGAUUGUAAAGCACUUUAAGUUGGGAGGAAGGGCAGUAAGUUAAUACCUUGCUGUUUUGACGUUACCAACAGAAUAAGCACCGGCUAACUUCG
rnacentral:rRNA from 1 species